GGGCCAACAUACUUUCACGACUGGCUACUACCGCUUUCAACUCGCUGGGUCGGAUAUUUGUUGAAUUCCUCGAUCGAUCGAGUAUCGAUAAAGUCGAGGAGAUAUUACAGCUCACUAUCGAACCAAGCUGGAUGGAUCCGAUCAUUCAAUACCUGACCGAUGGAACCCUUUCUGCAGAUUCCUCGGAGGCUAAACGACUCCGAUGGAUGGCAUCUCAAUAUGUAAUAAU
rnacentral:lncRNA from 1 species